rnacentral:tmRNA from 2 species
GGGGGCGAAACGGCUUCGACGGGAAUAUGGAAGCACAGGCUGCAUACCGAGCUUCUGCCAGCUCGUAAAAACGGCGGAAUCAUAAAAUAAUCGCAGACGAUUAUAAAUACGCUCUAGCCGCUUAGUACCGGCUAGCGUCCUGCCGGGUUUUCCUGCGCACCCGGGUCAGGGCGUCGACUAGCAGGAUAGCCUCUAGCGGUUGCUUGUAACGCAUGAGGCGAAACAUCUUGACAAGAUAGCCUUCCAAGAAUCCUGCCUGAAGGGGUCUUGAAAGGCGAAACCAAAAUUCAGGCCAAGUAUGUAGACGCCUCUGUGGAAUAUUGUCGGACGCGGGUUCAACUCCCGCCGCCUCCACCA